GGUGGCUUUUCAAGUCCGCCGUCAAAUCCCAGGGCUCAACCCUGGACAGGCGGUGGAAACUACCAAGCUGGAGUACGGUAGGGGCAGAGGGAAUUUCCGGUGGAGCGGUGAAAUGCAUUGAGAUCGGAAAGAACACCAACGGUGAAAGCACUCUGAUGGGCCGACACUGACACUGAGAGACGAAAGCUAGGGGAGCAAAUGGGAUUAGAGUCCCAAGUAGUCCUAGCCAUAAACGAUGGAUACUAGUUGCUCUACGACAUGGUUUUGCAUGAGAGAAAGAAGCGAGGAAUCC
rnacentral:ncRNA from 1 species